AGUGCUGUACGUAUGUCGGAAGCAAAUGUAAACAUCGAAAGGUGUCGACUUUAUUGAUCGCUUUUUACCUGCUAAAACUGUGAAGUAUCGAAGUUUUUGGUUGCCUGGGAGAGUUAAGCACUUUCAAAAGAACAGCAACCAAAAAAAAC